UGCAUUUUACCCUCGGAUGAAGCUUGUGGC
rnacentral:piRNA from 1 species